rnacentral:lncRNA from 1 species
AUAGACAUCUGGGCAAGUCAACAGGAAGGUGGAUAUCCAAAUCUCUCUCUUCGCAAUGAGUUUCCAGUUAGAUGGAGGAGAGAGUAAUAAAACACAGUGAGCUGAGAUUCCUGACUUCACAGAUCCCUGAGGAGAUGUUUACUAAAGGGAAUCUUCUGGUCACUGUUACCUUCCUCCGUACUUACCUGCCUCAUGGAUAACACUGAAGAAUGCAGUUUACUUACAUCUUUUUCUGUUUGACAGAAGACAGUUAUUAGUUACCCUUGGGACAUCAAAAUGACCAAGGCAGUGUCUGCUAAGUAUUUGCUGAGACUCUGCUAUGAUUCUUUCAAGUCUAAAGACAGUUAUCUGAAUGAUAUCCCCGUGACAGUGGACUCCUGCACAUUCACAGUCCUGGAAGGAGCCUGUCCACAUUGGCAUUCUGGAAGUCCAUAAAAGACAAACGCAUAUGCAGUCCCCGAGAAAGCAUUGUUGUAAACAAAUCUGCACUAGAUGGAAACUCUGUUAUGUGGUGCCGGCAUGCAUGGAAGAGAACCCGAAAGGAAGAAGCUAUACGACUGGGGACACAUGUCUUAGAAGCACACUCAUUAGAUAAAGUGUCGCAUACUCUUUGAUAAGGUAAGGCUCCCUGGACGAGAUGUUUUACAGGUACCAUGAGCUCAGUGAAUUGCUUUU